UGGAUCAGUGAUGAUUACCCGUGGUGUAUGAGUCGUGUACGGUAAAUAUGUGUCUGAAACCCUGAGGCUUGU
ensembl:snoRNA